rnacentral:ncRNA from 1 species
AUACAGGCUAAGAAAGAGUGUAGUAAUCUAGUGUCAGUCUUUACAGGGAGAAGGUACUAUUGAUUGAGAGUGUCUUUAAAGAUAUAUUAGAUGAAGUUUCGCUCUGGAGCUAUUCGAUUGAAAGAUAGUAGGUCGAAUCGGUUUCCCACCGUUAAAUGGAAGUAAGAGUUAAUAUCUAAUUGAUUUUCAUUAAAUUAGCUAGAGUAAGUAGGGUGGUACCGCGGCUCUCUCGUCCCUAAA